UUGCUUGUUGUCCCCACGAUGCACUAUGUGUAUGUAUUUUUGGAAAGUGUAUAUUUUAGCUUGUUGCAAUUCAUUAUAUAUAUUUGUGUAAUGUACUGGAUUUUUGUUGGUACUUUUUGUACAGUUAUAUUGGUUUUAUGAAAUAUGUAGACUAACGCUUAGUCUCUGAAUAUAUAUAUAAUUUUGACUGUAACAGAUAAACCCAUUUCAAUUGAAAAGGAGCCCCAGGGAGACCAGAGAACCUGGGGAAAUCUAGACUUGCUUUAUUUAAGGCUUUAGCAUUGCAGGGAUGGCAAGGCUGUAGGGAUAAUAAUGAUUUCCCUAUGAAAUAUGUCUCAAUAUAUCUACAGAUCAGUCAGAAGCUAAGUGUUCCCCAUCUUUCAUUCGUGUUGAUAUUUUCACCAAAUAUGAAACUCAAGUUUUAAUUCAUAUUUUUAAAACAUACACGGUAUAUAUUUCCCAUGUCCCAUUACUCAGUUUUUUACUUGUCCCACGAAAACAUCUUUAUAUCUUAUGUGCUAAAAAAUCACGUUAGCUUACGUUGUUUACUACCAUUGAAUAUUUAUACGUGAUUAAUUAGUUAUAUUGUAUGGAGGAUUUGAAUUUGGGAUCUUAAUUACUCCACUGUUGAAAAUCUGAAUGAAUAGGGCAUGGAAUAUUAUUCUUUCAUGUGAUAUUCACCAUUUUUCACGUCACGACGACUUUUUCUCCGUUACUGUUUCUAUAAACCACGCCAUUAUUCUUGUACAUGUUUCUAUCUGUCAUGAACAAGUGACUGUUCCGAAAAAGGGGUGAACGUCAAACAAAUCAAUGUGCUAAGUGAUUAUACAAAUCCAUGAUAAAAGAGCUGCGUAUUGGGUCAUGUACUAGAAGGUGCUGUUCUGAUAACAGGGUUUAACCAUAUAAGGUGUUCUUUAUGAUACCAUGUUGACGUCCAUACUGGGCAUAAGAUGCCAUGAAUCAAAUCACAACCACUCCAGUGGUAAACACAACAUACUUCUUUACAUACUGGUGUUGCCCUUAUUAAAUUACCGAAGGUUAAUGAAAUGUCUUACUGUAUGAUCUGUGUAUGUACUCCAGCUAGAAAGGGUAGAGUAGUAUUGCAGCACCUGGGGCACACUAAUCUUUAGUGCCCCUUGUACCACUGCCAUGAGGUAAAACCUUGAUGCAUUCUUCCGAUGGUGCUGCUUUUAUGUUUCUACUCCGCUGACUUAUAUAUUUAUUUUUGUGGACUGUUUGUAUUUACGUGUUUAAGAGUUUUACACUUGUCACAAAAUAAAUAUAACAAUGGGUGAAAUGAAAACCAAAUCAGUUGUGUGUGUUCGUAUGCGUGCGUGUGAAUAUGGUGGUGUGUAUGCGCUGGUGUGUGUGUGUGUGUGUGUGUGCGCGCGCGCUGUGUGUGUGUGUGUGUGUGUGUGUGUGUGUGUGUGUGUGUGUGUGUGUGUGUGUGUGUGUGUGUGUGUGAACGAGCGAGUUGGUGUGUACGUUGUACAUGGAUCAGGCUCAUUGUGAAGGACAUUAUCACAAACAGUAUCAAACCUCACAUUGUAUUUAGAGACAUGAAGCUUAAUGCAAACCCAUUGCUAACGAUGUCAGUAUUUGUCACGUGGUUGCUGUAUUGUUGUAUGUCACGCAUGUGUAUUUAUUAAGUUGAUCCUCAAAGCACUGUGAUUUAGUAUCAGUAUCAGUUCACAUCCUCACUGGGUAGAACUGUGGAUGUUGAUUGUGACGAAGAUGUUUGUUAUCCCAAGUUCUGGGGAAGACUGGUGGUUGAAGCGCUCGCUUGUCGCUUGUUGAUUCCACACAAUUGUACAGAAUGUGAAGUCCUAUUCCUCUUGUCCCCUACCCACAUAUUUAUUUUUUACCCUUUAGUUAUAGCGUGUGAUGAAGUUUUGAAAGCUGACCCCGUAUGGAAGUACUGUUAUUAUCAUAUGGAAAUAUCCCAUCAGAAAACAUACCCCGGUCAGUCAUACCACAACGGAACGACGCUGUUGGGAGAUAGGAACCACAGCUUGAAAACAUACAACUAACAUUCCUUGUGUGAAAGAUGAUAUUCCUUGUUACAACUGGGCUGUUAUAAAAGUAUUAUUGUACUCUGUGGUACUCAAUGCCCAAAAGCAAGAUGCAAUACCCCCUUUAAAGGGGGAGUUUUUAGGUGGGGUGUUUGUGGCUGGUUAUUACGAUCACAUCUUAUUAAAUACCUAACAUGAUAUCUGAUAUGAAGUGUAAAGUGAAAUUGAUACGUACUGAUUACAUUUGAAGUGAAAUGUAUAAGAACAGUUCAAGACUAUGAGAUAAUAAAAAGUAUGCUUCGUUUGCAA